rnacentral:ncRNA from 1 species
CCGAUGAAAGACGUGAUAAGCUGCGAAAAGCUUCGGGGAGGAGCAAAUAUCCUUUGAUCCGGAGAUAUCUGAAUGGGGAAACCCAGCUGAGGAAACCUCAGCUAUCCUUACGCCAAUCCAUAACGUAAGGAAGGGAACCCGGUGAACUGAAACAUCUAGGUAGCCGGAGGAAGAGAANNNNNNNNN